CUCCUACGGAAGGCAGCAGUGGGGAAUCGUUGCACAAUGGGGGCAACCCGUGAUGCAGCGACGCCGCGUGAACGAUGAAGCCCUUCGGGGUGUAAAGGUUCUUUCGGCAGGGACGAGUAAUGACGGUACCUGAAGAAGAAGCUGCGGCUAACUACGUGCCAGCAGCCGCGGUAAUAC
rnacentral:rRNA from 1 species